CCGUGAGAAAGGCAUACCUUUUGUAAAGAAAGGGACGCAAAGCUAUGAGUCUAAGGUAUAGUUGAUUUUAUACUAAGACUGUCUGGCUUCCAUG
rnacentral:ncRNA from 1 species